AAUUUUGGACAAUGGGGGAAACCCUGAUCCAGCCAUCCCGCGUGUAUGAUGAAGGCCAUCGGGUUGUAAAGUACUCUUGGCAGAGAAGAAAAGGUAUCUCCUAAUACGAGAUACUGCUGACGGUCUCCGCAGAAUAAGCGCCGGCUAACUACGUGCCAGCUGCCGCGGUAAUACGUAGGGUGCAAGCGUUAAUCGGAAUUACUGGGCGUAAAGCGUGUGUAGGCGGUUCGGAAAGACAGAUGUGAAAGCCCAGGGCUCAACCUUGGAACUGCAUUUUUAACUGCCGAGCUAGAGUAUGUCAGAAGGUAGUAGAAUUCCACGUGUAGCAGUGAAAUGCGUAGAUAUGUGGAGGAAUACCGAUGGCGAAGGCAGCCCCCUGGGAUAAUACUGACGCUAAGACACGAAAGCGUGGGGAGCAAACAG
rnacentral:rRNA from 1 species